UACGAAGGGGGCUAGCGUUGUUCGGAAUUACUGGGCGUAAAGCGCGUGUAGGCGGGUCUUUAAGUCAGGGGUGAAAUGCCAAGGCUCAACCUUGGAACUGCCUUUGAUACUGGAGAUCUUGAGUCCGGGAGAGGUGAGUGGAACUGCGAGUGUAGAGGUGAAAUUCGUAGAUAUCAGGAGGAACACCAAUGGCGAAGGCAGCACUCUGGGACGUGACUGACGCUGAGACGCGAAAGCGUGGGGAGCAAACAGG
rnacentral:rRNA from 1 species